UUUUUUUAAAUCAGUUUUGUUCAGAAUUGUUUCUGAAAUGAGAAACUUGGAGAAACUUUCUCUCUCUUCCACAUGUCACCUUCUUAUUAAUUUCUUUUCUUUGUUAUAAAUAAAAUCAUCUAUACUUUAUAACAUCAACUAAAUACUUUAUAUGUUUGUUAAUUU
rnacentral:sRNA from 1 species